AAACGUCAGAAAUUUCGUUCGUUCACCUUGAUCGUUCGUGGCAAUAGAUUUAACCUUGGUUAUAGACAAGUUGGUCAUGGGAUUUUAUUUCUACAUGUGCUAGGAAGUGAAAGAAACUGAAUCAGUAAAUGCGAAAAUGCCGUUUCUCAAUAAGUUUUCUCUUGUUUCUCGGUUGCCCACCUGGGCUGUUCCUGUACGUUGGUCACUUCACGCGUGAAGAUUUGGAUUUUUCUUCAUUUAAACAGGAGGAAACGUAAAAAAGUCGUGCAGCUUAACUGUCAACUAUUUUGUUCAAAAUCAUUGUAUUUUACUGAAUGUGCCAUCAAAAUGAUACAGGAUUCAACAUAAUUAUCUGCUGUGUGUAUUGGACUUGGUAGAUCACCAACCCCAGCAUGGAACAAUCUCUCAUUCCAUCAUCUAGAGAACCUUAUCAUCUGGAUAACUGAUUAGUGUUUUCAUGUACGUCAAGCACAUUGAGGA
rnacentral:lncRNA from 1 species